UACGGAGGGGGCUAGCGUUGUUCGGAAUUAUUGGGCGUAAAGAGCUCGUAGGCGGUGUGUCGCGUCGGCCGUGAAAACCUGGGGCUCAACUCUGGGCGUGCGGUCGAUACGGGCAUCACUGGAGUUCGGCAGGGGAGACUGGAAUUCCUGGUGUAGCGGUGAAAUGCGCAGAUAUCAGGAGGAACACCGGUGGCGAAGGCGGGUCUCUGGGCCGAUACUGACGCUGAGGAGCGAAAGCAUGGGUAGCGAACAGG
rnacentral:rRNA from 1 species